rnacentral:rRNA from 1 species
CAGUAGCCGCGGUAAUACGAAGGGGGCUAGCGUUGUUCGGAUUUACUGGGCGUAAAGGGCGCGUAGGCGGGCGAAUAAGUCAGGGGUGAAAUCCCAAGGCUCAACCUUGGAACUGCCUUUGAUACUGUUUGUCUUGAGUUCGAGAGAGGUAAGUGGAACUGCGAGUGUAGAGGUGGAAUUCGUAGAUAUUGGGAAGAACACCGGUGGCGAAGGCGGCAACCUGGUCCUUGACUGACGCUGAGGCGCGAAAGCGUGGGGAGCAAACAGGAUUAGAUACCCCCGUAGUCCCUGUCUCUUAUAC